GCAAACUUGGUCAUUUAGAGGAAGUAAAAGUCGUAACAAGGUUUCCGUAGGUGAACCUGCGGAAGGAUCAUUAAUGGAACAUUCAAGGUUUUGAAGCUGGCCUUUAGGGGCAUGUGCUCGCCUUGUUUCAAUCCACUUACACCUGUGCACACUUUGUAGUUCUUGGGAUAGGUUUCUAACCUUGAUCAGAUCUACGUCCUUUACACACACACUUUGUAUGUUAAGAAUGUACUAUAUGCGUAAUAACGCAACAAUAACAACUUUCAACAACGGAUCUCUUGGCUCUCGCAUCGAUGAAGAACGCAGC
rnacentral:misc_RNA from 1 species